UACGUAGGGUGCGAGCGUUAAUCGGAAUUACUGGGCGUAAAGCGUGCGCAGGCGGUCGUGCAAGACAGGCGUGAAAUCCCCGGGCUUAACCUGGGAACUGCACUUGUGACUGCACGGCUGGAGUACGGCAGAGGGGGAUGGAAUUCCGCGUGUAGCAGUGAAAUGCGUAGAUAUGCGGAGGAACACCGAUGGCGAAGGCAGCCCCCUGGGCCUGUACUGACGCUCAUGCACGAAAGCGUGGGGAGCAAACAGG
rnacentral:rRNA from 1 species